rnacentral:rRNA from 1 species
GCGUGAGUGAAGAAGGCCUUAGGGUUGUAAAACUCUUUCACUGAUGAAGAUGAUGACGGUAAUCAGAGAAGAAGCCCCGGCUAACUCCGUGCCAGCAGCCGCGGUAAUACGGAGGGGGCUAGCGUUGUUCGGAUUUACUGGGCGUAAAGCGCACGUAGGCGGCGUAUCUAGUUGGGGGUGAAAGGCCUGGGCUCAACCCGGGAACUGCCUUCAAUACUGAUAUGCUAGAGUCCGGGAGAGGGUAGUGGAAUUCCAAGUGUAGAGGUGAAAUUCGU